rnacentral:tRNA from 3 species
GCCUCAUUAGUUCAAUGGAAGAACGCCAGACUUCUAAUCUGGAGGCUGCGGGUUCAACCCCCGCAUGAGGUU